rnacentral:rRNA from 1 species
GGGUGCGAUCAUACCAGCACUAAUGCCUCGGAUCCCAUCAGAACUCUGUAGUAAAGCGUGCAUAGGCGAGAGUAGUACUAGGAUGGGUUACCUCCUGGGAAGUCCUCGUGUUGCAACAU